GCGUGUAGAGCUCAAGUGGUAGAGUGCAUGCUUAGCAUGCAUGAGGUCCUGGGUUCAAUCCCCGGUACCUCCU
rnacentral:tRNA from 1 species